UAUCUGCUGUGUGUUGAGAUUAGCUUUGUGGCAUGAAUUCAGCUGCUUAGAUUAAGAACCCUUCCAAAAGUACUAAAUAUACUUCUCUUGAGUUUGCAUAAUUUCUUUUUGCUCGGCAAUGGCGACACGCUCUAUGAAAUGUCCCUCGAUACAACUUUUCCUCGUGGAUCUGCAGCAGUUAUAUAUCAGGCUAGGAUGAAUCAGUCUCUGGGAUCUACAAGUGAAAAUGAAACAAAACACAAAGGAGGAAGAGGCCAAAGCUAAACCACACCCUGAUGCUUGGGAAGAGCUGCGGAAAGGUUCGUGACAUACAGACGCGAUGCAUUUACAAACAAUGAAACUGUUUCUGGUGUUUGUUCUUCUGAAAGGUGUCCACUGUCAAGCUAUAUGGGGUCCGGAGGCAAUUACAGUCAUGGAGCAUGAAGAUCUGACAGUGGAGUGCAGAUAUCAGAAAGGAUAUGAAAACUAUGAAAAAUACUGGUGUGAAGGAAGCAGACACUUGUCUUGUUUUGUUUUGGCAAAAACAACUUCUUCAUACAUAUCCAGAAGUGGCCUGUUUCUGAGUGAGAAUAAGACUAAGAGAGUAAUAAAUAUAAUUAUGAAGGACAUCCAGGGGAGAGAAGAAGGAACAUACAAGUGUGGAAUAUCAACUGCUGGGAGAGAUAAACAUUCUCCUGUUGUUGUUAAAGUUAAGAAAGCUCUGCCCAUAACUCCAACAAAAGCAGAAGAAACAGUAUCUUCAACAGCAAAGCCGGGAACCACAGUCAGUACGACGUCCCUUGAGGAGUCUGAAGAAACGAAAGCACCAGUCACAGAGGCUCCGGACAAGUAUUUCAGUUUCAAGUUUUAUUGUCAUAUACAGAUAACAAUGUAGCAUCAUUGCCGACAAUGAAAUUCUUAGUCUUAUGUUCCCCCAACUUUACAUAUGCUCACAAGCAUACAGAUAUAUAACAUAUAAACAUAUAGAAACAGAUACAGACAAAAAAAAAAACAUUAUAACAAAAAUACUGCAAAAUAAUGCAGUGAGAUAUUUAGAAUGUGGGAUGCAAAAUUGUGCUGUGAGAAUUUAAAGUGCUGCUGUAUGUUGAAAAUUGGUGCCUUUUCCUUCACUUGCUAAACCCAUACGAAAUGCUGGUUUUUGAAAAAUCACCCGGACAGGGGCCCAAAAAGAGGGCGUGUCCGGGGAAACCCGGGCAAAUGGUGACCAUAUCUUCCCAGUAUGUCUGUGCUAGCACAUUGAUUACACAGCUACCCAGGCAGACAUGAGUGUGAUAUACAGUGUUAGGCUAGUGCAACAUAUGUCAGUGGGACAACAACACAGAAACUAUUUAGGUGGCUUCUUAUACUUGCAGUAGCAAGUUUAUUUGACUAGCAAGUAGCUAACUUCGUUUACCAUCACUGACCUGCUAGUCGUAAAUGUUAUAACUUGACAACUCCUUGACCCCAGUUUGCCUUAAAGCAACAACAAUUGUGCUCAUUCCCUAAAAAGCAUAUCGUGAGCUGUCUGAAAGACUAUUGUCUGAUUUCCAAGUGUUGAUUCUGGUACAUAUUAAACAUUCCAUCCCUACCACACUGGAGUAGAACCAGUUUGCCUAUCGGGCAAACAGAUCAACAGAGGAUGCACCUGGAGAAGCCAAACGUGUAUGUCAGGUGUGAGGAUGCUUUUUUGACAGUUGUCAAGGCAAUUCAUUAAUCAGGUCCAAUGAAACAACAGGCAAACUUAGUUGAAAUUCUUUUUACUCUGCAGAGGAGAGUGUCACAAUCAGCAUGCUCAGGGCAGUAUAUGUACAAUUACACCACACACAAGACUGAAAAAUAGCUUCUUUCUUAGUGCUGUUAAAUUGCCGAACCCUGGCUAAACACUGUCUGACCCUCCCUCCAACAGCAGGUAUACACAGGCAUACAGACUCACAUACACACAAGAUAUGCGCUCUUUUGACUGCAUUCACUCUGUCAUUGUAGUUAUUUCAAUUCUUAUUACUGCUUAAUAUGCUGUAGACUGUCUCACCUUAUUUGUUGUUGUCUGUGAUUAUUGCGCUUUUAUUUGUUGAUGUUUGCGACUAGCACGCCGUGUUUUUGUUGAUGUUUGCGACUAGCACGCCAUGUUGUUGUUGUUUGCCAGUCACAACUUCAUUGUUUGUCAUUCUCAGCAAUUCAGCAACAAAAAUAUUCUUCUCUGCGAUUUUAGCUGUAGACUGAGUAAGUUUCAGUGUUACGUCAUUUUCACACUUCCUCAUAGCCCCUGUGGUAAAAGCAGAAGCAGUGAAGAACAGAUCACAGAAUUUCCUCCUUGCUGAAUUACAUGCAGCUGGCUUAAGUGAUUAUUCAUCUGUAUCAAUGCAUCAAACUGGAUCACAUGAGCUAUAAAUAAAUAGCUCUCAACUCUUGUGGGGCUCCCCAGCCACUCCAGCACUUUAUGUCGUUAUCUGCACACGUGGAUACAAUCAUCAGCAUGUUAUGAAGGUUUUUCAUUUUGGGGGGGGGGGGGGCGGCGGGUCACAAUCCAUCACUCUUACUGCCUGGCACAUUUGGACCCCUCUUUAUAUGCCAGUACCAUCACACCAACAGAUUGUUUGUUUGCUUGUUUGUUUGUUUAUUUGCAGUAGCAUUUGCAGUAGUAUUUAUUUACACGGUUGCCUGUAGCCUGUAGAGGAUUGAACAUCAGCAAUCUGGAAUCAAGGGCUAAGAUACAUGGAGGCAGGGCUGGCCUUGGGUGUUCUGGCGCCGUAGGUGAGAUUCUGCUGGGCCCCCCGCCCAAAACACAUACCCUGGAGCAGCAAAAAACUAAUUUUGUCAAUUCAUUUAUAUAUUUAAAUUAUUUAAAAAAUCAGUAGCACAGGGAAUCUGGCUGCUAACCAGCUAGAUCACUUCUGUAUCACAAGAAAAGUACUGAAAUAUUAAAACUAGUGUAAAUAACUAAUUUCGUGAAAUGCAAUCAGAGGUAUUUUUCAGAUUUUUUUCACUGACUCUUUAGCGCCCCCCUAAUGGUCCAGUGGGUCAGCCCUGCAUGCUGCUUAUAUGUUACAAUCAGGGCUUACAAGUCUUGCUGAAGGGCCCAAAGGCGCUUUUGUUUCUAGUCUUGAAGUUUCAUAUGUAUAACUAGGGCUUUCCGUCAAAUAGCCUGUCCAUGGCCUGUCUGUGACUCCCAAGUCAUCAAUCAAUGUGUCCCUGCGUAUUAUGCAGUUCCAACACCGAAAUAUGCUUUCACUUUUGUCAUGUACAACAUCAUAAAUAACAAUUACUACACACUAUGUGACAGAUGUGUAAAUAAUAUUUAGAAAAAAAUAGUCUCGAACAUGUCACCACUGUCUCUGUGAGUGAGCAGUCUUCUCCCUAACAUUUCGGUUCUUUCUGUGUAGGUUUGGCGUGUGGACAGUCCUGAGAUGGAUUCUGCUCUGCGUGCUUCUCUCUUGUCCCAUAUUUGUCACCUGUUGGGAGAAGUGGUGCAGGUGUGGACACCUGUCAUCACAGCCUGUAUCUGAACCUGGGUCACAGCCUUCAUGCUGAAAGGAUCACCGGAUUAACUUUAAACAGCUAUUGUGACUUUCCAUAUUGAUGUAAAUAGCAGCAGAUAGUAGCAGAGUUAGAUAGUCAAUGUGAAUGUUAUGUUUUUGUGUUUCCUAUUACUCUGUAAAUAAAAAUCUCAAAUUUCAAAUAAAUGCAUUCAUUAAAA